AAUUCUGCAGCAUUUUCUAUUUCUUAAAUUUAAAUAACAAAAUGCUUACCAUUAUUUGGCUGAAGACGUCAAACGUUAGUCCCAACCCCCAUUUUCUUUCUAUCUUCCCAUCCUUACGAGGUGGCAUUUUUGAACGCCAGACGGCGAAGUCUUCGCCUCCUUUUUUCUUCUGAUUGGCUCUUGACUGGGGAAAGGAUAGGGAAUUUUGCAAAUCCUCUCGCCGUCAUAGGGGAACAUUCAAGUUUACAGGCCUUAACCAUUAAGUAGGCCUUGGGUGAGCAUGCUCAGCCAGCCUGCUCAAACGUCAAUGCGCUGCCACCCUGCGCAUAUUUUGUUCCCAAUUCCGAGCGUUCCUGCGGCAAAAGAUCGCAACUCACUCAAAACAAAAGCUGGUGUUCAAUACUGGUUUAACAUUUCAACAUUUAGGAAGCUUUUACAUUUUUAAAAGUUGUGGACAAUAUGGAAGCAGAGAGCUCAGAGAUGGGACAGGUAGACACCGAAGAGGUAGACUUAGGAAUCCAAAUUACAAAGGGAAUGCGAAGCAAGUUCCAAUAGAUCUGCCAUCAUCCUGUCAAGAGAUCUUGCAAUCGGGCUUUCAGAAUAUAGUCGUGGAAGAAUUGGAACCCCCAAUUGUUGACCUAAAUGAACUGGUUCAGGCUACCAGCAACUCAUGUACAUCACCAUCAAAUUUGGGUGAACUUGAGGUUUAUUAAAAGAACAAAAUUUAAAGUUGUAAUUAUUUCCAUCUCAAUUUCCUCGAUAUAGUCAAUUCCAUUUCAACCGCCAUCUGUAGAACAACCCUGCAAAUCCUUCUUAAAAGGAAGGGAAAUUUUUGUAUUUGUAUUCUUAGCUUGUUAAGAAUAUGUCAACAUUAAUGCAUUACAACAGGCAUCCAACCAAGGAUUCAAGACGUCGAGUGUCAUGAUUUCGAAUGAGAUAGGCCUACGUGUUGAUACUCCAAUCAGCGACAACGAUGUGCCACAAACCUAUACACCGUUGAGGAAGCGAAGACUCGUAGCAAACAAGAACAUUAAAAUGGUUCCAAAGAAAAAGACAGCAAAAGCAAAAGAUACAAAUGAAGAGGAUGAAACGUGCUCAGCCACUAUAUGCAAAAUACUGCACGGGAUUUGAGUGGCGAUUGAACCAAGUGUGACGGGCCUUGCAAGAGAUGGUUCCACAAUCGUUGCGCAGGGAUAAAAAGAAUCCUGAAGAAAACCGAAAAGUGGGACUGCAUCAAGUGCGUCAAUCAGUCCAAUCGCCCCCGUCGCAAUUUUAUUAAAUAAUUAUUUUGUUGUAGCGUGUAAUUAACAAUUUCAACUCAAAUCAUUACACAACUGUUACCAAUGUAA